AUUUUGUUGGUUUCUAGGAUCGCCGUAAUGAUUAAUAGGGAUAGUUGGGGGCAUUAGUAUUCAAUUGUCAGAGGUGAAAUUCUUGGAUUUAUUGAAGACUAACUACUGCGAAAGCAUUUGCCAAGGAUGUUUUCAUUAAUCAAGAACGAAAGUUAGGGGAUCGAAGACGAUCAGAUACCGUCGUAGUCUUAACCAUA
rnacentral:rRNA from 1 species